AAGUCGUAACAAGGUUUCCGUAGGUGAACCUGCGGAAGGAUCAUUACAACGUAUCCACGUACCAAACUCGUGAACUGUUCCCAAUGGAGUAAACACACUUGUGGAUGAAGUUAAUGCUCGCCAGCUUUUCGCUGGUGGAGUUGGCGGAUCUUGUAUCUGCGCAACUGAGAGGCUGUCGAGCGCCGGCUGGCCUGUCGAGGGCUACUGGGACUUCGUGUACUCUGUUGCGGUUCUGCCCAUCAGCGCUGUUUUACCAUUAUUAACCCUUUAAAUUCUGAACUGAACUCAAAAACUCUGCUGACGUCCUUGCUGGCUUCGGUCACGGACUAGCGCAGCGCGAGUUUGUAAAUUACGAAACAAAGAACAACUCUUAGCAACGGAUAUCUUGGUUCUC
rnacentral:misc_RNA from 1 species